rnacentral:rRNA from 1 species
GUUAGGAAUAUUGGACAAUGGGCGCAAGCCUGAUCCAGCCAUGCCGCGUGAGUGAUGAAGGCCUUCGGGUUGUAAAGCUCUUUAGUCCACGAAUAUAAUGACUGUAGUGGAAGAAUAAGCCCCGGCUAACUUCGUGCCAGCAGCCGCGGUAAUACGAAGGGGGCGAGCGUUAUUCGGAAUCACUGGGCGUAACGCGUGCGUAGGCUGUUUUGUAAGUCAGAAGUGAAAGCUCAGGGCUUAACCCUGGAAUUGCUUUUGAAACUACAAGACUCGAAUUCGGGAGAGGAUAGCGGAAUUAUCAGUGUAGCAGGGAAAUGCGUAGAUAUUGACAGGAACACCAGUGGCGCAAGCGGCUAUCUGGACCGAUAUUGACGCUGGGGCACGAAAGCGUGGGGAGCAAACAGGAUUAGAUACCCGUGUAGUCC